AUUGAACGCUGGCGGCAGGCCUAACAAAUGCAAGUCGAACGAGUGGCGGACGGGUGAGUAAUGUCUGGGAAACUGCCUGAUGGAGGGGGAUAACUACUGGAAACGGUAGCUAAUACCGCAUAACAUCAGAUGUGACCAGAUGGGAUUAGCUAGUGGGUGGGGUAACGGCGAACCAAGGCGACGAUCCCUAGCUGGUCUGAGAGGAUGACCAGCCACACUGGAACUGAGACACGGUCCAGACUCCUACGGGAGGCAGCAGUGGGGAAUAUUGCACAAUGGUGGCAAGCCUGAUGCAGCCAUGCCGCGUGUAUGAAGAAGGCCUUCGGGUUGUAAAGUACUUUCAGCGGGGAGGCGUUACCCGCAGAAGAAGCACCGGCUAACUCCGUGCCAGCAGCCGCGGUAAUUC
rnacentral:rRNA from 1 species